CCUACGGGGGGCAGCAGUGAGGAAUAUUGGUCAAUGGCCGUAAGGCUGAACCAGCCAAGUAGCGUGAGGGAAGACUGCCCUAUGGGUUGUAAACCUCUUUUAUGCGGGGAUAAAGGUGUCCACGUGUGGAUGUUUGCAGGUACCGCAUGAAUCAGGACCGGCUAAUUCCGUGCCAGCAGCCGCGGUAAUACGGAAGGUCCGGGCGUUAUCCGGAUUUAUUGGGUUUAAGGGGAGCGUAGGCGGGCUGUUAAGCCGGCGGUAAAAAUUCAGGGCUCAACCCUGUCGAGCCGUCGGAACUGGCAGUCUUGAGUGGGCGAGAAGUAUGCGGAAUGCGUGGUGUAGCGGUGAAAUGCAGAGAUAUCACGCAGAACGCCGAUUGCGAAGGCAGCAUACCGGCGCCCGACUGACGCUGAGGCACGAAAGCGUGGGGAUCGAACAGGAUUAGAUACCCCAGUAGUC
rnacentral:rRNA from 1 species